rnacentral:rRNA from 1 species
AUGAACGCUGGCGGCGUGCCUAAUACAUGCAAGUCGAGCGAACAGACGAGGAGCUUGCUCCUCUGACGUUAGCGGCGGACGGGUGAGUAACACGUGGAUAACCUACCUAUAAGUCUGGGAUAACUUCGGGAAACCGGAGCUAAUACCGGAUAAUAUAUUGAACCGCAUGGUUCAAUAGUGAAAGACGGUUUUGCUUUCACUUAUAGAUGGAUCCGCGCCGCAUUAGCUAGUUGGUAAGGUAACGGCUUACCAAGGCGACGAUGCGUAGCCCACCUGAGAGGGUGAUCGGCCACACUGGAACUGAGACACGGUCCAGACUCCUACGGGAGGCCGCAGUAGGGAAUCUUCCGCGAUGGGCGAGAGCCUGACGGAGCAACGCCGCGUGAGUGAUGAAGGUCUUCGGAUCGUAAAACUCUGUUAUUAGGGAAGAACAAAUGUGUAAGUAACUAUGCACGUCUUGACGGUACCUAAUCAGAAAGCCACGGCUAACUACGUG